CCUACGGGUGGCUGCAGUGAGGAAUAUUGGUCAAUGGGCGUAAGCCUGAACCAGCCAAGUCGCGUGAGGGAUGACGGCUCUAUGGGUUGUAAACCUCUUUUAUAAGGGAAUAAAACGCGCGACGUGUCUGGUUUUGUAUGUACCUUAUGAAUAAGGAUCGGCUAACUCCGUGCCAGCAGCCGCGGUAAUACGGAGGAUCCGAGCGUUAUCCGGAUUUAUUGGGUUUAAAGGGUGCGUAGGCGGACUGUUAAGUCAGUUGUGAAAGUUUGUGGCUCAACCAUAAAAUUGCCGUUGAAACUGGCAGUCUUGAGUACAUUAGAGGUGGGCGGAAUGCGUGGUGUAGCGGUGAAAUGCUUAGAUAUCACGCAGAACUCCGAUUGCGAAGGCAGCUUACCAAGCCGUGACUGACACUGAUGCUCGAAAGCGUGGGUAUCAAACAGGAUUAGAUACCCCAGUAGUC
rnacentral:rRNA from 1 species